UUAACGUGUCGCGGGGAGUGGGACGUGUCGCAAAAAGUCGCGGUGGAAAUUCCCUACGAUCUACAGACUUGGCACUUUACGGUGCCAAGCCCUGCUGAGCUGGGAGAUGUCGGCUGCGGGCCGCGCCGAGUCCUUGGGUCCUCCCGACAGCUUUGCGAAGCGGGUCCUGGUGACCGGGGGUGCUGGUUUCAUAGCGUCACAUAUGAUUGUCUCUUUAGUAGAAGAUUAUCCAAACUAUAUGAUCAUAAAUCUAGACAAGUUGGAUUACUGUGCAAGCUUGAAGAAUCUUGAAACCAUUUCUAAUAAACAAAAUUAUAAAUUUAUACAGGGUGACAUAUGUGAUUCUCACUUCGUGAAACUACUUUUUGAAACGGAGAAAAUAGACAUAGUACUACACUUUGCCGCACAAACACAUGUAGACCUUUCAUUCGUCCGUGCCUUUGAGUUUACCUACGUUAAUGUUUACGGUACUCAUGUGUUGGUAAGUGCUGCUCAUGAAGCCAGAGUGGAGAAAUUUAUUUACGUCAGCACAGAUGAGGUCUAUGGAGGCAGUCUUGAUAAGGAAUUUGAUGAAUCUUCACCCAAACAACCUACAAAUCCUUAUGCAUCGUCUAAAGCAGCUGCUGAGUGUUUCGUACAGUCUUAUUGGGAACAGUAUAAGUUUCCAGUUGUCAUCACACGAAGCAGUAAUGUUUAUGGACCACAUCAAUAUCCAGAAAAGGUUAUUCCAAAAUUUAUAUCUUUACUACAACACAACAGGAAAUGCUGCAUUCAUGGGUCAGGGCUUCAAACAAGAAAUUUCCUUUAUGCUACUGAUGUAGUAGAAGCAUUUCUCACUGUCCUCAAAAAGGGAAAACCAGGUGAAAUUUAUAACAUUGGAACCAAUUUUGAGAUGUCAGUUCUCCAGCUUGCCAAGGAACUAAUACAGCUGAUCAAAGAGACCAAUUCAGAGUCUGAAAUGGAAAACUGGGUUGAUUAUGUUGAUGAUAGACCUACCAAUGACAUGAGAUAUCCAAUGAAGUCAGAAAAAAUACAUGGCUUAGGAUGGAGACCUAAAGUACCUUGGAAAGAAGGAAUAAAAAAAACAAGUAUGUUAUGGAUUGAUCCCUUGAGGGUAGGGGGAGAUUCAGAAAAAUUUUAAGGCACAAUAAUUUGUUUUUUAGGAGACUACAAAUUCGGCAGAAUGUUAUGUUGAGUGGUACAGAGAGAAUUUUCACAACUGGAAGAAUGCAGAAAAAGCAUUAGAACCCUUUCCGGUACAACCACCAUUUGUAUAGCCGGGACAGUUUUCAGAGAAAGAAGAAAAUUAUCCUACCUACCUCGACAAGCAAUAUGAAAUCAAGUGACCAAAUGAAGCAUCUUCUUUUUCAUUUGGAAUUAGAUUAUGACUUUGUGUAUAAAAUUCAAAUGUAAAAUGCCUCAAUCUAUAGAAGAGGUUCAGUAUCAGCAUAGGAUUUAAAUAAUCAUAAUUCUCUCAGAAACAUUUUAUCCUGAAAAUUAGGAACCAGUAUGCAUAGAAAGACUCCUUGGUAGAUGUGGGUCGGGAAGGAUGAAUCUCCUGUUUCUGAGAACAAGGACAGGUAAUAGCUCUGGGCAGAUGACAGCCUUUGCUGACAUUGAACUCUCCAGCUUUUCCCACUGCCUAAAAAGUCUCUGAAGUCUUUUAGGCAAUGUAGGAUGAGCCUUAUGCCCUAAUUUAUGUUUUUAAGGUCAGAUGUCAUGCUACAGUUGCUUUAAAAACGGAACAAAUGGAAGCAUAUCUAGCACUUUUUAACUUUUGAUAAUUUUUAUAAAAUUAAGUUAUAAAAGAGGUAGUUUUUAUAUUUUCAAAAUCGAUCAUGGAACUAUGUAAGUCAUCUUGUAUCAGAGAAACUUUAUCAUGUAUUUACUGUUUAAAAUGGUUUUAUUUAUAAAAUUAUCAAUAUUUUCAUGUGUUUAAUGUAUCACGUGGCUUUUUAGAAAGUGUGUCUUUGUUUUGCUGUACAAAAUUUUUUAAAGUACUUGAUUAUCAUGUAUUUUUAAUUCUUCUCUCCCCUAAAUUCUUUAAGAUGAUUUGAAAAGGUAACUGAUUGGAUAUCACACCAAGUUAAGGAAAAGGGUCAAAGGCUAUACCCAACUUUCUGGCUUCAGUGUAUGAGUGGUAGUUUGUUUCCUCUGUGGAGUAGAAAGUAAGGUUAUUAACUCAGAAGUGGUUGAGGAUGGAUGAUAGAGAGGAGAAUGUGAAGCUUGGGAAAAGAGCAGUAAGCAAAUCCAAAAUUAGUAAGGGGACUUGCCAAACAAGAAUGAAACAUAAACUGAAGUUAAAACACUGUCAUUUCAGAAUUCUGAAAGCUGAAAGACUAGACCAAGCCAGAGUUGGGCGUAGUAUGAGGCGCAAGGACUAUAGAGUUGAGUGAGAACAACUGACAUAAUGGUCCUCUGGUCUUAGUUGUCUAGGGAAGGAGUGCUUCUUGGAGCUCUGGAGAAAAUGGAGUUGGGGUAAGAGCUCAGGGAAGCGGCUGUAGGAAGUUACAGGCAGAAAAUGGAACAAACAGAGCAAAUUGUCUUCAAUGGCGUUUGAUCAUUAAGGGUAGAUGACAAAAUAAAAACACUCACUCUG